GUGCCAGCAGCCGCGGUACUUCGUAGGGGGCAAGCGUUGUCCGGAUUUACUGGGCGUAAAGCGCGUGUAGGCGGCCGCGCAGGUCCGUUGUGAAAACUGGAGGCUCAACCUCCAGACGUCGACGGAAACCGUGUGGCUAGAGUCGGGAAGAGGAGAGUGGAAUUCCUGGUGUAGCGGUGAAAUGCGCAGAUAUCAGGAAGAACACCAAUGGCGAAGGCAGCUCUCUGGGACGGUACUGACGCUGAGACGCGAAAGCGUGGGGAGCGAACAGGAUUAGAUACCCUGGUAGUCCACGCCGUAAACGAUGGGUGCUAGGUGUGGGAGGUGUCGACUCCUUCCGUGCCGUAGCUAACGCAUUAAGCACCCCGCCUGGGGAGUACGGCCGCAAGGCUAAAACUCAAAGGAAUUGACGGGGCCCCGCACAAGCAGCGGAGCAUGUUGUUUAAUUCGAUGCAACGCGAAGAACCUUACCAGGGCUUGACAUGCACUGGAAAUCCGUAGAAAUACGGCCCUCCUUCGGGACCAGUGCACAGGUGGUGCAUGGCUGUCGUCAGCUCGUGUCGUGAGAUGUUGGGUUAAGUCCCGCAACGAGCGCAACCCCUGUCCCAUGUUGCCAGCGAGUGAUGUCGGGGACUCAUGGGAGACUGCCGGUGACAAAUCGGAGGAAGGUGGGGAUGAUGUCAAGUCAUCAUGCCCCUUAUGUCCUGGGCUACAAACGUGCUACAUUGGCCGGUACAAAGGGCUGCAAACCUGCGAGGGUGAGCGAAUCCCAAAAAGCCGGUCCCGGUUCGGAUUGAAGGCUGAAACUCGCCUUCAUGAAGGCGGAGUUGCUAGUAAUCGCGGAUCAGCAACGCCGCGGUGAAUACGUACACGGGGCUUGUACACACCGCCCGUCACACCACGAAAGUCGGCAAUACCCGAAGUCGGUGAGCUAACCCCUCGGGGAGGCAGCCGUCGAAGGUAGGGUUGAUGAUUGGGGUGAAGUCGUAACAAGGUAACC
rnacentral:rRNA from 1 species